rnacentral:lncRNA from 1 species
AGUGCUACCCAAAAAGCUGAAAUGGUGAGCAAUUCUUAACGAGACCAGGCCUUUCAGUUUGCCAAAGACAGAGACCACCCCUCACACAGAGAUAAAUAAGUUUAAUACAGACAAGACUUUUUUAAGGAAAUAAUUCCUUUUCAGAAGAGGAAUUACAAUAAUCCAUGUUGACUCUAUGAAUAAUACAGGCCAUGCAAUAUCACUCAAAGAAAGGGCAAGAACAACAAUUUGGUCUACCAAGUGGUAGACCACCAAUUUAAGUGGAAUAUAGUUGUUUAUGCUCACAUGAAAUUUAUGGUCAGCUUAUACAUAUUACAGGUGCAGUGGCAUAUGUAGCUACAUUUACAUGCAAAAAAUGCUUUUAAGCUGGUUUUGAAGAGUAAUGCUGUGACUGUAUAUAUGUAUGUGAGUAAACAUUAUUGUAAUGGAUUGGGUUAUAGAAACUGUUUUUCCACAGCCUCACGUUGACAGACAAGUUAAAUUUUCUGGGUGAAUCAGAGUUUUGAUACACGACACUGAUUCUAAGUAUAAAGAUGGCUAGUUCAUAGAAGAUCUGCCUGAGGAAAUAUGGAAACUAAAAAAGUUCCCAGUCAUCUUGUUUGGUCCAUUAAUAAGUAUCCUCUUUUCAAGUACUAUUUUAGCAGAGAAGUCAGGAGUAUGUAGUAAGCAAGUGGUAUCCCAUCCUCUCCCUCUCUCUGGCUCCCUCCCUCCGCCCUGGCUUGGUGAGCCACGGGAUGCCCAUUGUGCACGAUGGAUGCAGGCGCAUGGCCAUUUCCCAAUCCGAAUCACACUUGUUUUUGCCACUUACUACUUGCAGGUCAGAGGAGCAGCCAGUUUUUUACUGUUGUUCCACUGGAGGCACAGUUUUUGAGUGAACGUAGGAGGCAGAAGAAACAGAAAUGGCGCUCUACAAAAAUCUAACAUAGAAGAACUUGAUUUGAGGAACUGAAUAAUUCUUGAUUGUUCACAACUGAACGCACCAAACAACAUUUGCUGUCUAUCACUUCACCAUAACUCCCUCAUGGAAGGAGGAAUUCAGAUAAAGAAAAGAUUUUAUUUCUUCUCAUGUUAUGUAGUCUAAAGGCAAUAAAAGCAUUGUCUCUAUUGGUAUAGGAACUGGG